CCAAUAGCGUAUAUUAAAGUUGUUGCAGUUAAAAAGCUCGUAGUUGAAUUUCGGGACCAAUUUGUUGGUCGUGCCUCGGUACGUACUGGUAUUAUUGGUUUCUCCCUUCUGAAGAACCUUGAUGUCAUUAAUUUGGUGUCUUGGGGAAUCAGGACUGUUACUUUGAAAAAAUGAGAGUGUUUAAAGCAGGCAUACGCUUGAAUACAUUAGCAUGGAAUAAUGAAAUAGGACGUUUGAUUCUAUUUUGUUGGUUUCUAGGAUCGACGUAAUGAUUAAUAGGGAUAGUUGGGGGCAUUAGUAUUCAAUUGUCAGAGGUGAAAUUCUUGGAUUUAUUGAAGACUAACUACUGCGAAAGCAUUUGCCAAGGAUGUUUUCAUUAAUCAAGAACGAAAGUUAGGGGAUCGAAGACGAUCAGAUACCGUCGUAGUCUUAACCAUAAACUAUGCCGACUAGGGAUCGGAUGAUGUUAAUUUUUUAAUGACUCAUUCGGCGCCUUACG
rnacentral:rRNA from 1 species